UACGGGGGGAGCAAGCGUUGUUCGGAUUUACUGGGCGUAAAGGGCGCGUAGGCGGCCACCGCAAGUCGACUGUGAAAUCUCCGGGCUUAACCCGGAAAGGUCAGCCGAUACUGCGGGGCUAGAGUGCAGAAGGGGCAACUGGAAUUCUCGGUGUAGCGGUGAAAUGCGUAGAGAUCAGGAGGAACAUCGAUGGCGAAAGCAGGUCACUGGACCAUUAUUGACACUCAUCCACGAAAGCUGGGGGAUCAAACAGG
rnacentral:rRNA from 1 species